ensembl:lncRNA
AUGAUGAUGUAUCAGUAUUCUUUAUUUAAAGUAAAAAGUAAAUCAUAUCAGUUUUCUGAUGAUAAAAGUAUUAAUUUCCAUUUGUAUUUUACUAUAAGAAGACACUAUUCAUUCUGUCGCUUGUUUUCUGUAUUUAGGGGCAUAAAUCAUAAUGUGAGCUGGUCUUUUGGACAGUCACUUCUGGAUAUGAUUUUGGUUCCUGAAACUCCUCCUUGCAGUUUCCCAGGUCCAGAAUGUCAGGCCACAAGCAGCAUCCAGUUCGGUCGUAAUGGCCCCGCCUCAGUGGACAUUCCCACGUCUGUUCUCACCUGCGAACAACAAAACCUGAACCAACUUAACGAAACCCUUUGUGCAGCAAUUUUAGGAGCAAAAUCUCAGGAAUCUUAUGUCCUUUAUCAGAUGUGUCGAGCACUCAGCACACUCUCUCAAACCGAAGUGACAAAAGUAUGGAGGAACAUGUGUCACAUUAUCAAGAAUGGCAUCUUACCUCUUAUUGAGCCCUGCAGUGAUCCUGGCAGCGCACAAUCAAGUCGUAUUGCACGGUCCACUCUCAGCCUCAGCGAACUCCUUUGCGACUACCAGAACUGGACUAUUGAUGGUGCCACAGACCCAGCAUUGGUCACAAUGUGCAGUGAAAAUGAUCGUGCGGCAUUCAUCCUUGCUGUGUGUAACAACGCUGAAGUUAUGCAAGUGUUGGUCAGAAAUCCUAAUAAUGCUUGGGUUUGGGAAUUCUGUGCAAACACAUCAGACUCAUACAUAGUGAACCUGUAUUGUUCAUAUAACAUAUGGACUGCUGAAACCAUCGACCCAUCAAUAGUGACGUUCUGCUGGUAUAAUGACAUGGAGAGAUUUCAGUUUUUUUUGUGUGACAGUAUGGCCUUCUUUAUGGUUGUGUUCUCCACUGAAGAAAACAACUGGCUGAAGCCCAAUUGCUCUGAACCUCCUCCACAAAUUGACAUCAACACCUUUGUGGCUGAGUCUUGCAAAUACUCUGAAUGGAAGAAUGUACAAGCAAUCAGCCCUGAACAGAUCUCUAUAUGUAUCCAAAAUGAUGAGGUUCGGUUUAUUAAUGAGGUGUGUGUUGACCACAAGUUCAUCACUCUACUUGUGCAGAACAGCGCAAAUGCUUGGGUACAGAAAUAUUGCACCUACUCUAUCAGGAAUCCCCCUACAAGUCCACCACUGCUGAAUAUCGAAGUUUGGUGUAACUAUAACAAAUGGACUAACAUGUCUGUAGAUCCGUCUGUGGUCGCUCUAUGCUGGCAGUACGACCAGAUUGGCUUCCAUCAGAACGUCUGCUGCAACAUACCCUUGUAUGACAAGUUGUCCAUUCAUGUUGACAACCAGUGGAUGAUUAGAGAGUGCUCUAAUAAUGACACCACAAGCAUGUUGGAGCAGGUUUGCAUCUAUUCAGAUUGGAGCCAGCCUACUGUAGUAAACAUGACUGACCUUGCUCUCUGUGCAGAUCUUGACACUGAGAACUUCACUCGGAAUGUAUGUGCCAAUGCAACAGUUUUCCAGAAUUUGCUGGCCAAUUUAGACGGCACCUGGUUAUUGGAGCAAUGCUCAAACCUGACUGCGCCUGGCCCAGGUGGUGGGGCUGGGAACGGGGGGGGCCUGGUGAGUUUCCGACCAGCUGAGCAGUGUCAGUACUCCAAUUGGGCUUUGGUGCUCCCGGACGCUGCUCUCCUCACUCUUUGCUGGGAAUAUGACCAGGCCAACUUUAUCUCCUUUGUCUGUGCUGACUCUUCCAUGCUCACCCACAUCACUCAGGAGGCCUCCAGCCUCCGGGUUGGCAGUCUCUGUGCCACAUACACAGCUCCCCAAACCACCACCAUCAGUGGGAGCAAUGAAACAACUCCCCAGCCAUGCUUAACUAGGGAGUUAGCUAAAAGGCUAAACUGGACAUGCAGCACAGACUUCAGUGCUGUCUGCCAACCAGGUGCCAGUCAAGUCCAGGGUCUUCGGGUGCUGUUGCGCUGUGGGAUAAAGAUCCUCCAACCUCGCUUGGAGAAUCUCAUGACUACAGAGGUGACAUCGAUGGUCAAGCAGGCCACCAACCUGUGGGUUGUCCUGCUGUUGGCUCUAGAAGAAAGCCAAAUUACCUCUCUAAGGAUGACAGAGAAUAUUCGGCUUAGUGUUUUGGACUCAGUUGUCGCCUACAUGGACAAUGAAACCAACUUUGACAACAAGCGUGUGCUUUUGCAGUGCUUUGGGAAAGUUCUGACCAGUCUGAUGCAAAUAGGAAGAAAUAUGCCCACUAACUUUUUCCUGAUCAAGGUUGGAUACACAACUUCAUUCGCAUGUUUUACAUUAUUAGCUUUGUGCUGCUAAAAAAUAACACUUGAAAGUGUUUGGGUCAAAUUCAUGUUUUGCUUUGUCUAUCCACAUUAUCAUUCAUGCAGAAUAUCUGCUUUUGUUUGCUGAAAUCAGUGUGAGUAACAGCAUGAAUUACACAUUAUUGCUUUUGCAGGAGUAUUUCCGCAUUCCUCUAUCUCAUCUGAGAUCAGUGCUCAGUGCAGCAGACAGCAUAAUCGUGAGGGAGAUUCUGCUGUACUAUAACAGGAACACAGCCACUUUGCAGGUAGACCAUCUCAUCAUUGCAUCAUUAUAUAUUAAAAACAAUCAAGAAACAAACAAUCAAGAUAAAUGAAUUUAUGUAAUUUACAGUUUUUCUUUUCUUUUUUGAAGCUAACAGAUGAUUACCUGCACACCAUGGUGUCUGUGCUUUUCCAAAUACACCUGCCCAAGGAUAUUAGCCUGUUUUCUGACAUGGGUAUUUUGUUGGCUCUAGCUACACCUUCAGACAUCUUGUCAAUGCCGCUACAAAAUAAUAUCAAUGCGUAAGUGACACACAUAUACACCUGAUAUUAUUUUUGUUAUUUCAACUUCAUUUUAUUCUUGUUUAUGAUGAUUACGGCUGAUUUAUAUUGCAAACUUAAUAAAAAGUGAAUCCUUAGUGGGAAAAUUUAUCCUACAAUUAAUUUAAAUUAUAGAUAAAUUUAUAUGUAAAUUUUAUAUGUAUUCAUUUUUAAUAUUUUAAUAUUUUUUGCUAAAAUUUCAGUUUGUUUAGUUUUGUCAUUUUUAGAUAUUUCUAUUCAGCUUUAAUUUAUUUUUAUUUAAAAUUCA